rnacentral:lncRNA from 1 species
UAAACCUCACGUUAUGAGAUAACUCUGUACUUAUGUAAGGAUAUGUAAGGCUUGAUAUGUUCAGACUUUCAAAAAUACGUCAUAUUCCUAGGACAUUGCGAACUUAGUGACGAAGUGACUGAAAAGGCAUUAUGAAGAAAACUAAAACGGCAAUAAUAUAUACAGGGUGUUUGUAAAUAAGUGCGACAAACUUUAAGGGGCAAUUCUGCGAGAAAAAUAAUGAGUUUGCUUGAAGAACAUAUGUCCGCAAAUGCUUCGUUUCCAAGAGAAGGCGUGUUGAAAUUUUUCUUACAAACUGAGCAUUUAUUUAUUGCUUUAAAACUCAUUGAGAUAUGCAAAGGGAAUUUGGUGGGUUUUAAUUGGUAGUUAUUGAGCAUUUUUUGACAUUUAAUUAAGAAUUUUAUAUCCAUCAUUGGCGCGCAUACAAGUAGCGGUCUGAAUUUUUCUUAAAGAAAAGAUAGUAUGUCACUGAUAUACUUCGAAUUAAAAAUAAUUUUUGAAUUCCUCGUUAAAUUUGUGACAAAAAACUGUCUUGAAAUAAAUUUCUAUUGUAUAGAAACAUAUUUCGAAUAAUUUGUAAGAGAUGUUUUAUUUUUUUUUUAGCAUAAAACGGCGUCUCAUGAAAAGAAAGGAAAGAUAGAUCUUUUGUCACAAAUUUAACGAGAAAUUCAAAAAUUAUUUUAAUGUAAAAUAUCUCAGUGACGUACGUUUUUGAAGAAUGACUUAAUUCAUCAAGUCCAGAACAGAAAGAAAUUUGCCAUAUCGAUCGCCAACCUCAUUAGAGAAGGCACUUAGGAGGAGGAGAGAUACAAAACAAAGUGCUUGAACAGACUUUCGAAACUGUUGCUAGUACUACAUUGCAAAAAAAUUAGUGCAGGUGGUAUUAUAAAAGUAGAACAAGAAAAGAGGGAAAUACAAUACUAGAACGUACAAGAUACCAGGAAGUGUAAAAGAUAACAAAAGUACAGGAGUGCCUAAAAUUGUUUACACUUAUACCUUUACAUUAUACAAGGAAGAAUAUGCCAAACUAAAAACUAAACUGACAAUGACCGAAAAAAAAAA